UACGUAGGGUGCAAGCGUUGUCCGGAAUUACUGGGCGUAAAGAGUUCGUAGGCGGUUUGUCGCGUCGUUUGUGAAAACCAGCAGCUCAACUGCUGGCUUGCAGGCGAUACGGGCAGACUUGAGUACUGCAGGGGAGACUGGAAUUCCUGGUGUAGCGGUGAAAUGCGCAGAUAUCAGGAGGAACACCGGUGGCGAAGGCGGGUCUCUGGGCAGUAACUGACACUGAGAGACGAAAGCUAGGGGAGCGAAUGGG
rnacentral:rRNA from 1 species